CGGAUUAUGAGGAGGUAUUGAUGCAUAAUCCAACACUUGAUCCGAGGGUGGCUUCAGCCACCAAAUGAUGUCAUCUUUGCAUCUGAAUCCGC
rfam:Brachypodium distachyon strain Bd21 chromosome 3, whole genome shotgun sequence.